UACGAAGGGGGCUAGCGUUGUUCGGAAUCACUGGGCGUAAAGCGCACGUAGGCGGAUUUUUAAGUCAGGGGUGAAAUCCCGAGGCUCAACCUCGGAACUGCCUUUGAUACUGGAGAUCUUGAGUCCGGAAGAGGUAAGUGGAACUGCGAGUGUAGAGGUGAAAUUCGUAGAUAUUCGCAAGAACACCAGUGGCGAAGGCGGCUUACUGGUCCGGAACUGACGCUGAGGUGCGAAAGCGUGGGGAGCAAACAGGG
rnacentral:rRNA from 1 species